rnacentral:tRNA from 1 species
GUCCCCGUAGCAUAACUGGAUAAUGCAAUGCCCUUCUAAGGCAUAGAGUGCGUGUUCAAGCCACGCCGGGGACGCCA